GUGCCAGAAAGAGGCUGACAAAGUUUCAUAGAACAGGGACUGUCCAAGGCAGGCACCAGCAAUGCAAGCAGCCCCCAUACUGCUUCACAAAUCUGCCUCAACCCUGCACCAGGGGAGGGGAGGAUAUUCAGUGUCUAUAUCCAUUCCAGUCUUUGACCUCU
rnacentral:sRNA from 1 species